UGUUACUGGUCAUCAAAAAAGGUUCACCAGGAAAAUGAGACAUUCAAGUUUCAUCGUUGAACAAAUAAACUUUGUUAAAGAUUCUAAAUGAAUAAUCAAAUUGUUCUUUCGCUAAUUGUGAUCACCUUAAUUGUUACCAUGGUCGCAACUGCAUCGAUUGAUAAAUCCUCCAUCAUUAACGGUGAUUCAAUUAGGAACAUUGAAAGAGAUUCAAUGAAACAGAAUACAAUCAAAGCGAGAAAUAUUAUCCAGAGAGUUCCGGCUUUAAUUGUGAGGUCAUUAUUUUCCGUCCUCGAUAAUACAAUUGGAAGAGUUUAUGGAACAGUAAUUGGUUUAUAUUCUAUGAUCAAAUAUGGUUAAUUAACGUGGAUUUAGUUAAUUACUCGAUCUCUCUACAACUAAAUUAAAUCCGUUACCAUGUUUUGCGAUUUUCCUGUCAAUAUAUUGAACGAAAAAAAAGUUUUUUUUUAGUUAAAUUGUUCUUUCCAAUUGUUAUUCUUAAUUUAAUAGACCAGGUCAUUGAUUAGAUCUUUUUGUACAAUAGUUAAUUUGAUCACGAUUUGAUCUGUUAUCUAUUAAGUGUUGUGAAAAUCGAAGGUACAAAUUAAAUGAAUCAAUUGAUUAUCAUCGUUAAUUGAAAGGUUUCAUUUUAUUUUGGUAAACCGGAAUUUUCAGUUUUCCAUGUCAAGUUUAUGUGAUGCUGACCCUUCAUCAGAAAUUGAUUAUAUGUUACUGGUCAUCAAAAGGGUUACCAGAAACAUUCAAAUUCUUGGACAUUCAAGUUUCAUCAUUCAACAGAUAAACUUAAUAGUUGAAGAGUUAAAAUGAAAAUGAAUAAUCAAAUUGUUCUUUCGCUAAUUGUGAUCACCUUAAUUGUUACCAUGGUCGCAACUGCAUCGAUUGAUAAAUCUUCCACAAUCAAGGAUGGUUCAAUCAGGAAUCUCGAAAGUGAUAAACAAUCAACAAUUCAACAGAAUUCAAUCAAGGCGAGAGAUAUUAUCAAGAUGAUUCCGUUUGUUAUUCGUCGAUCAUUCAAUUCCGUUCUUGAUACAAUUGGGAAAAUUUAUGUAAUUCCCCUUGGUUUAUAUGCUAUGAUCACCGGAGGUCCUGGUUAAUUACCGUUUAAUUAGCUCAUCAAUUGUGAGGAAAUUGAUUUUUUAUCAUUCGUUUCAAUAGGAAACAGGAUAUCAUCACAAUUUGUAAUCUAUUUGAUCAACCAAGGUACGAAUUUAUAUGAAUUAAAGUCAUCAUUUAGUA